GACGUAGGGCGCAAGCGUUGUCCGGAUUUAUUGGGCGUAAAGAGCUCGUAGGCGGUUUGUUGCGUCGGCUGUGAAAUCCCGAGGCUCAACCUCGGGUCUGCAGUCGAUACGAGCAAACUAGAGUGUUGCAGGGGAGAACGGAAUUCCUGGUGUAGCGGUGAAAUGCGCAGAUAUCAGGAGGAACACCGGUGGCGAAGGCGGUUCUCUGGGCAUGAUCUGACGCUGAGGAGCGAAAGUAUGGGGAGCGAACAGG
rnacentral:rRNA from 1 species